AGCAAAUCGCAAAGUGAAAACAGGGAAAAAAAAAUUCAAGUUUCUGACCUAUCACCUUUCGACGGGUGGUAUUGGCUUACCGUGGCAGUGACGGUUAACGGGGGAUUAGGGUUCAAUUCCGGAGAGGGAGCCUGAAAAACGGCUACGGCGGGGGGGAAAGUAGAAGCGCGCAAAUUACCCAAUUCUAACAGUUUGAGAGAAGUAUUAACAAGAAAUAACAAUACAAGGCAAUUAGAUGGAUUUGAGUUGAAAUAUGAAAGUUUAAGGCCUUGAUAGGGUAUCGGUUGGAGCUCGGGUCUGGUGCCAACGCCGCGCGGUUCUGAGGCUAUACUUAUAAUACAAAUCUCGCAGAUCUAAAAAACGCAGAGGAGGGUGCGGCGAAACUGCUAAAAGUAACCGGUCUGCUU
rnacentral:rRNA from 1 species